CCCUGCCCCGCCUCCGGAGGCGGAACCCCGCCCCCUCCGCUCAGUGGCCCCUGACGCCGCCAUCUUGGGAAGGUCGCCGCCUGGCCGGGUGCCGGGGCCUCGGCGGGAGACGCCCCGCGGACGCCAUGACAAAGAGGUCGCGGAGAGUCAAGACAGCACCUCCGGGGCGAAGCAGGUGGUUUGAGAGUGAAGGGGCCAAAAGAAGUGGUAGAUGCCUAGUUGUUGGCGAGCGCCCAACAGCUAUCUAACGCUCCACACAUGGUGUGCGAAUUAGUCAUUGUUAAAGCCGAACUUAGUACUGGUGUGCCCCAUUUUAAGCACACCCCCAAAAUAGACUUCAGAUAUGCUGGUAAUUCACUUUACAGAAAGUUGCACAAAAAGAUUCUUGAAAUAAGUAAAAUGUUCUGCAUCUCAUAGCACAAAAUGUUUAAACAUCGUUAAUAACCUCUAUGUGUAAAGUGAGUUGAGAUUACCAAAAUCUGAUAUACACGGUACAAAAUAUCCAGAAGGGCAUCUACUAUGUAAAGUCUAAGUGUGGGAACUAGGGUUUGGAAAAAGCAACCUUACCCCGCUCUACCUCUUCUCAUCCUCAUCCCCACAGCUUUCUGCCUUGCAUAACAGAGUCUUAAUAAAGAGACGGAGCAGAGGAAAAAUGAUACCUAAUGGCACUCAAAUGUACCUGUUCCUUCAAAAAUAUUUACUGAACCUGCAUUAACUUUGCACCUGAACUGUAGAAGACACAGAGAACACAGCUCUGUUCCUAUCCUCAAAGGUCUGACAGUCUCUGUGAGCUCCAGAGCCCGGGAGCCACAGCUACUGAGCCCGCGUGCCCCAACUACUGAAGCCCGCGCACCUAGAGCUGGUGCUCUGCAACAAGAGAAGCCACCACAAUAAGAAGCCCACGCACUACAACAAAGAGUAGCCCCCUCGCUGCAACUAGAGAAAGCCCACGUGCAGAAGAAAAAAAAAAAGUGAAUCUGCAUAAAAACAUAAAUCUACCAUUUAGAAAAAGGUGAAUCUGGACUCCUUUGGGAAACAACUCCUUGGAGCUAACCCAGGUUUUGUGAAGCCUAAAA